rnacentral:rRNA from 1 species
GUGGCAGACGGGUGAGUAACAUGUGGGUAUCUUCCCUUUGGUGAGGAAUAACACGAGGAAACUUGUGCUAAUACCUCAUAAGUCUUUACGGAGAAAGCUUUAUGCGCCGAUGGAUGAGCCCGCACUUGAUUAGUUUGUUGGUGGGGUAAUGGCCUACCAAGACUUUGAUCAAUAGCUGAUCUGAGAGGAUGAUCAGCCACAUUGGGACUGAGACACGGCCCAAACUCCUACGGGAGGCAGCAGUAGGGAAUAUUGCACAAUGGAGGAAACUCUGAUGCAGCGAUGCCGCGUGAGUGAAGAAGGCCCUUGGGUUGUAAAGCUCUUUCGUCGGGGAAGAAAAUGACUGUACCCGAAUAAGAAGGUCCGGCUAACUUCGUGCCAGCAGCCGCGGUAAUACGAAGGGACCUAGCGUAGUUCGGAAUUACUGGGCUUAAAGAGUUCGUAGGUGGUUAAAAAAGUUGGUUGUGAAAUCCCGGAGCUUAACUCCGGAACUGCAAUCAAAACUUUUUAGCUAGAGUAUGAUAGAGGAAAGCAGAAUUUCUAGUGUAGAGGUGAAAUUCGUAGAUAUUAGAAAGAAUACCAAUUGCGAAGGCAGCUUUCUGGAUCAUUACUGACACUGAGGAACGAAAGCAUGGGUAGCGAAGAGGAUUAGAUACCCUCGUAGUCCAUGCCGUAAACGAUGUGUGUUAGACGUUGGAAAUUAAUUUUUAGUGUCGCAGCGAAAGCAAUAAACACACCGCCUGGGGAGUACGACCGCAAGGUUAAAACUCAAAUGAAUUGACGGGGACCCGCACAAGUAGUGGAGCAUGUGGUUUAAUUCGAAGAUACGCGCAGAACCUUA